rnacentral:rRNA from 1 species
GUUGUAUAGUCAAGUAAUUAAGUGCAUGUGGUGGAUGCCUUGGCAGUCAGAGGCGAUGAAAGACGUGAUAGCCUGCGAAAAGCUCCGGGGAGGCGGCAAAUAUCCUUUGAUCCGGAGAUGUCUGAAUGGGGGAACCCACCUACUUUAAGGUAGGUAUUGCAACAUGAAUACAUAGUGUUGCAAGGCGAACGAGGGGAAGUGAAACAUCUCAGUACCCUUAGGAAAAGAAAUCAAUUGAGAUUCCCUCAGUAGCGGCGAGCGAACGGGGAUCAGCCCAUUAAGUUAUGUGUGUUUUAGUGGAACGCUCUGGGAAGUGCGAACGUAGAGGGUGAUAUUCCCGUACACGAAAGGGCACACAUAAUGAUGACGAGUAGGGCGAGGCACGUGAAACCUUGUCUGAAUAUGGGGGGACCAUCCUCCAAGGCUAAAUACUCCUGACUGACCGAUAGUGAACCAGUACCGUGAGGGAAAGGCGAAAAGAACCCCUGUGAGGGGAGUGAAAUAGAUCCUGAAACCGCAUGCAUACAAGCAGUGGGAGCACCUUCGUGGUGUGACUGCGUACCUUUUGUAUAAUGGGUCAGCGACUUAUAUUCAGUAGCAAGGUUAACCGUAUAGGGGAGCCGUAGAGAAAUCGAGUCUUAAUAGGGCGUUUAGUUGCUGGGUAUAGACCCGAAACCAGGCGAUCUAUCCAUGAGCAGGUUGAAGGUUGGGUAACACUAACUGGAGGACCGAACCCACUGUCGUUGAAAAGCCAGGGGAUGACUUGUGGAUAGGGGUGAAAGGCUAAUCAAGCCUGGUGAUAGCUGGUUCUCCCCGAAAGCUAUUUAGGUAGCGCCUCGGACGAAUACCAUAGGGGGUAGAGCACUGUUUCGGCUAGGGGGUCAUCCCGACUUACCAAACCGAUGCAAACUCCGAAUACCUAUGAGUACUAUCCGGGAGACAGACUGCGGGUGCUAACGUCCGUAGUCAAGAGGAAAACAAUCCAGACCGCCAGCUAAGGCCCCAAAAUCAUAGUUAAGUGGGAAACGAUGUGGGAAGGCAUAGACAGCUAGGAGGUUGGCUUAGAAGCAGCCACCCUUUAAAGAAAGCGUAAUAGCUCACUAGUCGAGUCGGCCUGCGCGGAAGAUGUAACGGGGCUAAAACUAUGUGCCGAAGCUGCGGAUNNNNNNNNNNNNNNNNAUGCUGGAGGUAUCAGAAGUGCGAAUGCUGACGUGAGUAACGACAAAACGGGUGAAAAACCCGUUCGCCGAAAGACCAAGGGUUCCAGUCCAACGUUAAUCGGGGCUGGGUGAGUCGACCCCUAAGGCGAGGCCGAAAGGCGUAGUCGAUGGGAAAAUGGUUAAUAUUCCAUUACUUCUGUGUAAUGCGAUGAGAGGACGGAGAAGGCUAAAUCAGCCUGGCGUUGGUUGUCCAGGUGAAAGGAUGUAGGCAUGUAUCUUAGGCAAAUCCGGGGUACUCUAUGCUGAGAUCUGAUAGCAAGCUGUACUUGUACAGCGAAGUGGUUGAUGCCAUGCUUCCAGGAAAAGUCUCUAAGCUUCAGUUACACAGGAAUCGUACCCGAAACCGACACAGGUGGUCAGGUCGAGUAGACCAAGGCGCUUGAGAGAACUCUGCUGAAGGAACUAGGCAAAAUGGUACCGUAACUUCGGGAGAAGGUACGCUGUUGUUGGUGAUGGAACUCGCUUCCUGAGCUGACGACAGCCGCAGAAACCAGGCCGCUGCAACUGUUUAUUAAAAACAUAGCACUCUGCAAACACGAAAGUGGACGUAUAGGGUGUGAUGCCUGCCCGGUGCUGGAAGGUUAAUUGAUGGGGUUAGCGUAAGCGAAGCUCUUGAUCGAAGCCCCAGUAAACGGCGGCCGUAACUAUAACGGUCCUAAGGUAGCGAAAUUCCUUGUCGGGUAAGUUCCGACCUGCACGAAUGGCAUAAUGAUGGCGGCGCUGUCUCCAGCAGAGGCUCAGUGAAAUCGAAAUCGCUGUGAAGAUGCAGUGUACCCGCGGCUAGACGGAAAGACCCCGUGAACCUUUACUGCAGCUUGACACUGAACUUUGACCUUACUUGUGUAGGAUAGGUGGGAGGCUUUGAAGCUGGAACGCUAGUUCCAGUGGAGCCGUCCUUGAAAUACCACCCUGGUAAUGUUGAGGUUCUAACUCUGUCCCGUGAUCCGGGACGAGGACCGUGUCUGGUGGGUAGUUUGACUGGGGCGGUCUCCUCCUAAAGAGUAACGGAGGAGUACGAAGGUGCGCUCAGCGUGGUCGGAAAUCACGCGUAGAGUAUAAAGGCAAAAGCGCGCUUAACUGCGAGACCCACAAGUCGAGCAGGUACGAAAGUAGGUCUUAGUGAUCCGGUGGUUCUGUAUGGAAGGGCCAUCGCUCAACGGAUAAAAGGUACUCUGGGGAUAACAGGCUGAUACCGCCCAAGAGUUCAUAUCGACGGCGGUGUUUGGCACCUCGAUGUCGGCUCAUCUCAUCCUGGGGCUGAAGCAGGUCCCAAGGGUAUGGCUGUUCGCCAUUUAAAGAGGUACGCGAGCUGGGUUUAGAACGUCGUGAGACAGUUCGGUCCCUAUCUACCGUGGGCGCUGGAAAUUUGAGAGGAUCUGCUCCUAGUACGAGAGGACCAGAGUGGACGAACCUCUGGUGUACCGGUUGUGACGCCAGUCGCAUCGCCGGGUAGCUAUGUUCGGAAGGGAUAACCGCUGAAAGCAUCUAAGCGGGAAGCCUACCUCAAGAUAAGAUUUCCCUAGGACUUUAUGUCCUCUAAAGAGCCGUUCGAGACUAGGACGUUGAUAGGUUGGAUGUGGAAGCAUAGUGAUAUGUGAAGCUGACCAAUACUAAUUGCUCGUGAGGCUUGACUAUACAACACCCAAGCAGUUG